CAACAAAGAUUUAAUCACCUACAUAGAUGCUGUUGGGUAUAAAAUAAUCCCAGCCGAAGUUCGUAAAAGACUGACCCUUCCAGGGCUCUUCCGGCUUCCGACCUUGUGUGGCAUCUUUUUGAACCUCUCCGACCGUCCGAGCUUCCACAAUACCAUCCGAACUCCCCUAGCAGUCGGCCUUCCACAGUGUCCUCCAGAUUCCUCCAAUGGAUGAACUCCUAUCAUGCCAUCUAGACUUCUUCGAUAAUGAGCUCCUCCAUUCAUCUACCGAGCUGCUCCAAAUGCUUUCUGAGCUUCAUUAUCAGCCGACUUUCUACAGUGAUUGGCUACCCUCUGAAUCUCUUCCAGACUUCUUUGCCACGAGCGACUUUAUUCCGAACUUCUUUUGGGCUUCAUCAAUGUUCGAGCUUCUCCAACAGCAGGACUUCUACAGUAACCAGACUCCAUCCAAGUUUCUACGACGGUCGACAGCCUUUCGAAUUUCAUCCGAGCUCCUACAAGAGUUGGAUCCCAGCUGAACUUCUACAGCGGAUGGAUCCCAGAUGAAUUUCUACAACGGACGAGCUCCACCAGCCGGAUCUCUACUCCGAACUUCUUCUGGACCUCAUCAAUGACCGAGCUUCUCCAACAGUGGG
rnacentral:lncRNA from 1 species